CUAGGGCCCGGGGUCCUAGGUUUCUAUGACGACGCAAGGCAUUCUGAGAAAAGUUGUGGCUGCCGGCGCCCGGCGGGAAACACAUUUUGCUGGUACAGCUUUCGAGUGUCCAUUUCCUUUCGGUUUAAAUGAAGAAACGAUGAAAGCCCUAGCGCUGCCAGACCCCUGAGUCCGCGAGGGCACUGCUUGUGGGAGAGGUUGGAGUCCCUGACUGCCUAGAGCGCGCCACCGAGCUGCCGGCUGCCAGUGCUUAGGGUCAGCGGGUAGGGUGUGCGGGUGUGUCCUUCCCGGCCUCUGCUGGGACCCUGAGGCACGUGCAAGCUUCUGAGUCAGGACAGAUGGGCUGAGAGAUUACAGAGGUUUCUGAAAGAGGGUAAACCACGGAAGAGGGAUUCUGAAACUCCAAUGUAAACAUAAGCACUUUAAUGAGUCUUUUGCUUGUUUUGUUUUCCCUACAGGACAGUGUAGUAACCUGAAAGUCCCAGAAGUGCCAGUAGCAGACUGAUUUAUUUCUGAGUUAUCUUUCUGGAGGAAUAUGUCACAUUACUAAAAAGAGUGAUAGGAAGCAUUAUUAUGUCUCUCCCGAAAACGCCAACCUCACCGUUAAAGUCCCCACCAUCUUAUGACCCUAGGAAGUCAAAAGUAUCUGCCGUCAAGGAGACAAGAGGGAUAUUUCUUUUCUGUAUGAUGUUAAAUAUGUAAAAGAAGAGACUAGAGAGAAUGCAAUUUGUCCCCCACAUUUGGACCAUGCAUUACAAUCCAAAGAUGAUCACAAGAAACAUGAUGGUGUCCUCCUGUCUCACAAGGAAACGUAAUAGAAGAGUGGAAGUGGUCCAACUGAGUGAAGUGAUGAACACUAUGCUAGAGAGGGCUGGUGUAGAAAAUGAGGAAUAUGCAGGACCAACCAANNNNNNNNNNNNNNNNNNNNNNNNNNNNNNNNNNNNNNNNNNNNNNNNNNNNNNNNNNNNNNNNNNNNNNNNNNNNNNNNNNNNNNNNNNNNNNNNNNNNUGUGUGUGGAAGGAACCCUCCUACAUUGUUGGUGGGAAUGUAAACUAGCACAACCACUAUGGAAAUAAGUAUGGAAUUCCCCAAAGAAUUAGAAAUUUCAUUUGAUCCAGCUUUCCCCUUCUAGAUAUCCUUCAGAAAGUGUUAAAGAUAUAAUAUUAUAAUGCUACAUGCAUACCCAUGUUGAUAGCAUCACAACUCAUAACAGCUAAAUCUUGAAAGUGGCCUGUAUGUCCACAAACAGAUGAAUGGAUAAAGAAAAAGUGGUGUAUACACAUAAUGGAGUACUAUUCAAGCAUAAAUAAGGAUAAAUUUGAGUCAUUUGUAGGAAAAUAAUCUUGAGACCAUAAUCUUAAGUGAAAUCUGACUCACAAGAUCAAAUAUCACAUGGUUUUUCUUAUAUGUAUAAUCCAAAGUAUAAAUAAUUCAGAAGAAAAUAAAUGAUAGCUUAUAGGAAACAAGAAGCAAAUGGGAAGGGAUGUAGGGAAGAGGGGGAGGGGGAGGGGAGGGGAAAGGGAUGUAGAAGGAUUGAGGUGUGAUGUGUAUGUGUACCAGCCCUCCAAGAGGAAGAUAUUCAUUAUGUGUCACACAUGUAUACUAAUAAAAAAUACAUAGUAUCCCUUUGGGGUAGGAAUUAGGGUUUGCACAACUCAACUUUCUCAUCUAUUGAUAUAUUUAUUCUUCUCUUUUUUCAUUUUUUAAGCCAAAGAGAUUAACAGACACUUUAAUUCCUGAAGAAUUUCAUAUUGUGUCAAAUACAGGAGUUUCAGGUUUGGAGUGCUACGAUGAGUGUGUAUAUGACACACAUCAAAUACCUGACAUGUUGAAGUAUUUUCUCCUUCCCAUGCCUAGAAAAACCUGGGGACAGCACAGGUGUAUCCUGGUGUAAUGAGAAAACGCAGGGUAGCAGCCCUAAUAUAAUUUAAAAAGCUAAUGAAGACUUCAUGGUUUGGGAUUUUAGUAAUUAAAUGACUAAAUUGUUCUCUGUUCCUUUCUGCAGUUUUAAAUUUAAAUUUUAAAAACUGGGACUUUGUUCCAAAUAUUGACUGUAUCUUUUAAGUAUGGGUUGUACAUGGUCAUAACCAUGCAGACAAAGGAAAGUAGCCCUGUGAGUCAGAAUCGCAGACUGCAGACUUGUCAUCUCAUUGUCUUUGAUUUUCUGUUUAUGGGAUUGAAAAUGAGAUCUUGGUUAUAUUUUCUGAGACAACAUUUGAAUGUUUCAUAGUUUUGUUUUUCUUUUUGUUUUUUUUUUGGUACCGGGCAUCGAACUCAGGUCCUUGUGCUUGUGAGGCAGGUGGUAGGACCACUAAGCUAAAUCCCCAUCCCUGAAUGUUUCAUAGUUUAAAAAAGAACUUGGGAUUUUUGUUUGUUUUUUCUUUCUGAGACAGGAUCUCGCUAUGUAGUUUAGGCUGGCCUUGAACUCACCAAAUGCCCUUGAGCUUUUGGCAAUUCUCUUGGCUCAGCCUCUUGGGUGUUGGAAUUAUAGGCAUGUGCCACCACACCUGGCUAUAAAACAACUAGAACUUUGGACUAAGGUUUUAUAAUAAAGCAUGGAGAAGCUGCU
rnacentral:lncRNA from 1 species